CGAAUUCGCCCUUAGCGGAGGAGAAGAAAAUAACAAUGAUUGCCUUAGUAUCGGCGAGAGAAGUGGCAAAAGCUCACAGUUCUAAUCGGAGGUCGAUAAGGCCUUCGAGUUGUAAGCUAUAGGGAUCUACCGAAGCUAAAGUUCUUUCUAACAGUUCUGUAAAAGAACGGCCAAAGAGGGUGAUAGCCCCGUACAUGAAGAACGGAAGCGGAGGGAAGUCUUCUGAGAGUCGGGUUGUUUGGGAUUGCAGCCCUAAAUGGGAGAUAAGCUUCUCCUAAAGCUAAAUAUAGAUGGGAAUCCGAUAGCAAACAAGUACUGCGAAGGAAAGAUGAGAAGAACUUUGAAGAGAGAGUCCACAAGACUUGAAAUCGUUGAAAAGGAAGCGGUUAAAAUCCAUUUUUAGGGUCUUUCCUAAUAUUUUUCAUUGUCACCCUUCCAACAAAUUUCUGCAAGGGAUUUGUGAAGAAGUCGGAGCGUAUGAAAGAUAGGUCGAAUGAUUUUAAGCACAAGAUUAAAACCGUCUUGUAAAAGAGUAUCCUUCUAUCGGGCAACCAUGGUUGGAAUACAAGUGCAAGCGAGUUUUAAGGGGCUUUUUAGCGAUCUUGUGGAAAUGGUUUUAACCGUCCCGUCUCGAAACACGGACCAAGGAGUCUAACAUAUAUGCAAAUGUGUAGGUGCAAAARCCUAGACGUAAAACGCAAGUGAAUUAAUGGGCACCGCAAGGCUCACCAUUARCCGACCUUGAUCUUUAGUGAAGGGAUUGAGUAAGAGCAUAUCUGUUAGUACCCGAAGGAUGGUGAACUUUGNCCUGAGUAGGUUGAAGUCAAGGGAAACCUUGAUGGAAGAUNCGUCGAUAUACUGACGUGCAAAUCGCNUCNGUAAGGGCGAAUUUCGCGG
rnacentral:rRNA from 1 species